AUUCCGGUUGAUCCUGCCGGAGGCCAUUGCUAUCGGUGUCCGAUUUAGCCAUGCGAGUCGCACGUAUAACGUGGCAGACGGCUCAGUAACACGUGGUCGAACUACCCUAUGGACCGUGAUAACCUCGGGAAACUGAGGCUAAUAACGGAUGGUGCUCUCAGGCUUGAAUGCUGAGAGCAGUAAAGCUCCGGCGCCAUAGGAUGUGACUGCGGCCGAUUAGGUAGACGGUGGGGUAACGGCCCACCGUGCCAAUAAUCGGUACGGGUUGUGAGAGCAAGAUCCCGGAGACGGACUCUGAGACAAGAGUCCGGGCCCUACGGGGCGCAGCAGGCGCGAAACCUUUACACUGUACGCAAGUACGAUAGGGGGACACCGAGUGCGAGGGCAUAGAGCCCUCGCUUUUGUACACCUUAAGGUGGUGCACGAAUAAGGGCUGGGCAAGACCGGUGCCAGCCGCCGCGGUAACACCGGCAGCCCAAGUGAUGGCCGCUAUUAUUGGGCCUAAAGCGUCCGUAGCUGGCCGUUCAGGUCCGUCGGGAAAUCCACUGGCUUAACCAGUGGCCGUCCGGCGGAAACCGUUCGGCUUGGAACAGGGAGACCAAAGGGGUACGUCCGGGGUAGGAGUGAAAUCCCGUAAUCCUGGACGGACCAUCGGUGGCGAAAGCGCCUUUGGAGAACUGAUUCGACAGUGAGGGACGAAAGCUGGGGUCUCGAACCGGAUUAGAUACCCGGGUAGUCCCAGCCGUAAACGAUGCUCGCUAGGUGUGCGCAGGCUACGAGCCUGCGAUGUGCCGUAGGGAAGCCGAGAAGCGAGCCGCCUGGGAAGUACGUCCGCAAGGAUGAAACUUAAAGGAAU
rnacentral:rRNA from 1 species